rnacentral:rRNA from 1 species
AUCUGCCUAGAGAGAAGCUCGCGGCUGAUUAGCUAGUUGGUAAGGUAAUGGCUUACCAAGGCGACGAUCAGUAGCUGGUUUGAGAGAACGAUCAGCCACACUGGAACUGAGACACGGUCCAGACUCCUACGGGAGGCAGCAGUGGGGAAUUUUCCGCAAUGGGCGAAAGCCUGACGGAGCAAUACCGCGUGAGGGAUGAAGGCCUUUGGGUUGUAAACCUCUUUUAUCAAGGAGGAAGUUCUGACGUGUACUUGAUGAAUAAGCAUCGGCUAACUCCGUGCCAGCAGCCGCGGUAAGACGGAGGAUGCAAGUGUUAUCCGGAAUCACUGGGCGUAAAGCGUCUGUAGGUGGUUUAAAAAGUCUGCUGUUAAAAAUUGAAGCUUAACUUCAAAGAUGCCGUAGAAACUUUUAAACUAGAGUAUGAUAGGGGUAGAGGGAAUUUCC